UACGGAGGGUGCGAGCGUUGUCCGGAAUCACUGGGCGUAAAGGGCGCGUAGGCGGCGCGACAAGGCGGCGGUGAAAGUCCGGGGCUCAACCCCGGAUCGGCCGUGGCGACUGUCGCGCUGGAGCACAGUAGAGGCGGGUGGAAUUCCGGGUGUAGCGGUGGAAUGCGUAGAGAUCCGGAAGAACACCGGUGGCGAAGGCGGCCCGCUGGGCUGUGGCUGACGCUGAGGCGCGACAGCGUGGGGAGCAAAC
rnacentral:rRNA from 1 species